rnacentral:rRNA from 1 species
AGGGGGGCUGCUGCUGGCUUCUAACCGAGGCAUGUGCGCGUCCCUCGCCUUCUAUUCCACAUACACCUGUGCACCUUUGGCGAGCGCCUCCCGUCUGGAGCCGUCCCUUGUAACCUCUUCGGAGGGGUAGGGGCCGGGGCGCUCCCUCUUCAUUACAUUACAGCCUGUCUUAACGCAUGUCUGAGCUCUACGGAGUGAAACGAAAUACAACUUUCANCAACGGAUCUCUUGGCUUUCGCAUCGAUGAAGAACGCCGCGAAAGUGCGAAACGUAAUGUGAAUUGCAGAAUUCAGUGAAUCAUCGAAUCUUUGAACGCAUCUUGCGCUCCUUGGUAUUCCGAGGAGCAUGCCUGUUUGAGUGUCGUGAACUCUCUCAACCUUUCUCUUUCUCUUCGGAGGAGGGGCCAGGGUUGGAUUUGGACGCCUGCCGCGGGAUCUCUCGCGGCUCGUCUUGAAAUGCAUUAGCUGGUCCACCUCGGUUCAACAACGGUGUGAUAAGAAACGCUUCGUGACUGUGGCGCCGUUGUAAGCCGACCUUAGGAGGAUCGCUUCGAAUCGUCUUCGGACAGCACUUUACGUCAUCUGACCUCAAAUCAGGUAGGACUACCCGCUGAACUUAA